UUUUUUUUUUUUUAAUAUUAUCUCGAAUUACUUUGAUCUAAGUUAUUAUUAUUUUUAUUGUUGCAUAAUUAUUUUAUAUUUUAAUUUAGUUGUGAAAUGUUAUUUCGCUUAGUAGGAUAUCUAGUUACCUUAAAAAUAUUUAUAUAAUAGAAUUUAAUUUUUUUAUGUUUUUAAAUUAGUUGAUAUAAUUUGGUUAAUUUAUGUAUAAGUGACUUUAAUUUUUGUAAUAAUUUUAUAUUUAAUUUAUAGUUUUUAUAUUGUUUAAUAACAUCUUAUUUUUAUUUAUAUUAUUUAUUUGUUACUAUAGAUUCUUAUUAGGUAAAAUUUUUAAUUAAAUUUUUUGUUUUUAAAUGAUUAUAUUAGUAUAUUAAUAAUUUUGUUAUAUUUAUAUAAGAUAUCUUGUUAUAGGUAUUUAGAUUUUUAAUAAUUUUAAAUUACAUGAUUUUAAAUAAUUAGGCAACAUUUAAAUUGAAUGUUUAUCAAAAACAUUUCUUUUUGGUUUAAAAAGUAAGAUCUGCUCACUGAUAACUAAAGAGCUGCAAUAUUCUUAAUUGUGCUAAGGUAGCAAAAUAAUUUGUUUAUUAAUUGUAAACUGGAAUGAAAGAUUUAACAUAUUUAUAUCUUUUUUGAUUUUAUAUAUAAAAUUUAUUUUUAAAGUGCAAAAACUUUAAUGAUUUUAAUAGAGGAUAAGACCCUAAGAAUUUAUUUUCUGUUUUUAUUUAAAAUUUAUUUUUUUUUAAUUAGUUGGGGUGACUAGUAGAUUUUUAAAUUCUAUUUUUUUGUAUACUGUAUCAGUUUGUUUGAAUAUUGAUAUUUAAAAGUUCAAUUACCUUAGGGAUAACAGCGUUAUACUCAUUUAUAGUUCUUAUAGGAAUGUGUGUUUGCGACCUCGAUGUUGGAUUAAGUUUAAUUUUGGAGUAUAAACUAAAAAUACAAGUCUGUUCGACUUUUAGAAACUUACAUGAUCUGAGUUCAAACCGGUGUAAGCCAGGUUGGUUUCUAUCUUUAAAUUUAUUAUUGAUUAUUUUAGUACGAAAGGAUUUUAUAAUUAAAUUGUAUUUUAUUUACAGAGUUUCAUAACUUUAUUAUAUAAAAAAAAAAA
rnacentral:rRNA from 1 species